GCCACCAUAGCUUAGUUGGUAGAGCAGACGAUUCGUAAUCGUCAGGUCAAGGGUUCGACUCCCUUUGGUGGCUCAA
rnacentral:tRNA from 1 species